CCCUGCUUACGAACUCUGAGAGUUCCCCUCAGCUCAACUAAGUCCAAACUCCCUGACAUCCCCAAGCAGGGGCUUCACAACCAGCUCUGCUCUGGUCUCAGAUUUCAUACUCCCACGCAGUCGCUACAGCUGCUCCAAAUGCCCCACGGUUUCUGAGCCCCCGAGGUCACUGCUUCCUCCAGGCAGCCACCCCUCCCCUAGGCUGAGUCAGUCACGCCCCCCUCUGCCCUCCCACCACCAUCAGUUGAACCCAAAGAUAAAGACCAGGACUGAGAUAAUGGCCUUAUUUCAGGACCCCAGCAUCAUUCUGGGGUGACUGUUUGAAGAAGUAUGGAUGCUGAUAUGUAAUGACACACAGGGAAAGGCAUCUUCAAAGGUCAGAGGUCAACUUGGCAGGGACAGAGGGACAUUCGGAACAGAACACACCCAGGACCAAAUGUCAGCGAGGACGUGGGCAACACGGACAUUCAGUCGCUACUGUGUGAGGAUAAGUAGGUGCAACCACUUGGGAAAACUUCUUGGCGUUAUCUAAUGAAAGUAAUACGUUUUUCCCUGUGAUCCAGCAACUCCAUUCAAAGGAAUCCGUGCCAGAGCAACUCUUCCCUGUGGCACCCUGAGCCAUGGACAAGAAUGUUUAGAGCAGACGGGUUGGUGAUGGCAAAAGAAUUAGAGGCAUCUCAACUGUCUGUCAACCGCAGAAGAAACACACAACCUGCAAGAGAGCCUUAUAACAAAAACUACGCAGCCGUGGAAAUAACAGAUGCAGUCCUGCACACAUCAACAUGCACAAACUCAAAAACAUACCGUACAACACAGAGGGCAAAAGAAGCAACUUACAAAACAAUGCGUAGAGUCUGCAUAAUAGAUGAAAUUCAAGGACAGGGAAAAUUAAACAUCAUAUUGUUUAGGAUUAUGUGGGUGUUAAAACUAUCAGGAAUGGCAGAAAGUGACUCAUGCAAAAUUAAGGAUACUGGUUAACUUUGGGGAGGGACGGGGUGUGAUGGGGAGGGGCACACAAGGAAUGUCUAAGACUUGGUAAUGUUCUAAUCCUUAGGUGGUGAGUACAUGGGUAUUUUAUUAUUCUUCUUAGACUAUACAGAUAUGUUUUAAACAUUCUUUUUUAUAAGUGAGAUAUUUCACUUUUUUAAUUUAGAGAUUUAAAAAAUAGAAAAUAGCCCCAGAAAUAUGAUAGAGCCAGCAUAACAAAAUUCAAGCCUUUAUCGGUAUUUAAGGAGCACCCAAUUUUCCACUCCAUACCAUCAGAGAACAUGUUGUUCAAACACUGCCUGUAACAUUAGUAAUGCAACUUUUGGCUGUAAUAAAAACCUAACAGUGGCUUAAACAAUAAAGGCAUUCAGUUCUGUCUCAUAACAAGAAGACUGGAAGUAGGUAGCUAAAGAUUGAUCGCCUAAGAUCACAUAGCAAGAAAGUGGCAUGGUGAUUCACAUCUGUAAUCCCAGCACUUUGGGAGACCAAGGUGGGAGGAUCGCUUGAGCCAAGGAGUUCAAGACCAGCUUGGGCAACAUGGCAAGACCCC
rnacentral:lncRNA from 1 species